rnacentral:rRNA from 1 species
GAGGAGCCUGCGGCAGAUUAGCUAGUUGGUGAGGUAAUGGCUCACCAAGGCUGCGAUCUGUAGCUGGUCUGAGAGGACGGCCAGCCACACUGGCACUGACACACGGGCCAGACUCCUACGGGAGGCAGCAGUGGGGAACUUUGGGCAAUGGGCGAAAGCCUGACCCAGCAACGCCGCGUGAGGGAGGAAAUCCUUCGGGAUGUAAACCUCACAAGUAAGGGAAGAGUGCUGCGGGCUGAAUAAUUCCGCAGUUCGACGGUACCUUACGUAAGCCACGGCUAACUACGUGCCAGCAGCCGCGGUAAUACGUAGGUGGCAAGCGUUGUUCGGAAUUAUUGGGCGUAAAGGGCGCGUAGGCGGCUUGUUAAGUCGGCUGUGAAAGCCCGGGGCUCAACCCCGGAGGGUCGGCCGAUACUGGCGAGCUAGAGUACGGAAGAGGUAGCUGGAAUUCCCGGUGUAGCGGUGAAAUGCGUAGAUAUCGGGAGG